rnacentral:lncRNA from 1 species
UAGCUGAGGAAGAGGCUGGCUGCUUCUUUGACACACCACAACCCCCAGGUUCCUCUGCCAGCAGCAGCAGCAGUGAGGGAAACAGCGACUCAGCUUCUUCCAGCUCCAGAGGAGCUUGCUGCUGGGCAUACAGGGUUAUCUGAGGUCUCCAUCUAACUCCAUUUACCCUCUCACUGUGCUUCUCCGGCUGGGGCGAAGGAAAUCCAGUCUCUCCAGAUUUCCACAAUGCAACCAAUAUUGUUCUGGAAGAUGCCUUCCUGAGACAGAAGCAGUGCAGGUUGGCCUGAAGCCCACACUCCUCCCGCUUCUUCCUGUCAAGCGCUGAGGUUCCAGACGUGGACCAUCAAGCCCAGCAUAGGCUUUCCUUCAAGGUUGGAAAGCACAGGACCGCCUUUCUGCCCUGAUGACCAAGAAGCGAGUUCCCGGAUGGCUUGGCAGUCCUUUCAUCCUCUGCGAGUGCUCCUUUCCCUUGGCGUUCCCAGGGCUUUUUCAGAAGCGUUGGCCUUGGAAGAAUGCCGUUCAGGGAACACAAACUCUUCACUUAAACAAAACAAAACAAC